UGGGGAAUAUUGGACAAUGGGCGCAAGCCUGAUCCAGCAAUGCCGCGUGUGUGAAGAAGGCCUUCGGGUUGUAAAGCACUUUUAUCAGGAGCGAAACGCUGUCGGCUAAUACCCGGCGGAACUGACGGUACCUGAGGAAUAAGCACCGGCUAACUUCGUGCCAGCAGCCGCGGUAAUACGAAGGGUGCAAGCGUUAAUCGGAAUUACUGGGCGUAAAGCGUGCGUAGGCGGUUUCUUAAGUCUGCUGUGAAAUCCCCGGGCUCAACCUGGGAAUGGCAGUGGAUACUGGGAGGCUAGAGUGUGUCAGAGGGUGGUGGAAUUCCCGGUGUAGCGGUGAAAUGCGUAGGGAUCGGGAGGAACAUCAGUGGCGAAGGCGGCCACCUGGGACAACACUGACGCUGAGGCACGAAAGCGUGGGGAGCAAACAGGAUUAGAUACCCUGGUAGUCCACGCCCUAAACGAUGCGAACUGGAUGUUGGUCUCAACUCGGAGAUCAGUGUCGAAGCUAACGCGUUAAGUUCGCCGCCUGGGGAGUACGGUCGCAAGACUGAAACUCAAAUGAAUUGAC
rnacentral:rRNA from 1 species